UGAUGGCGUGCCUUUUGUAGAAUGAACCGGCGAGUUACGAUUUGAUGCAAGGUUAAGCAGUAAAUGUGGAGCCGUAGCGAAAGCGAGUCUGAAUAGGGCGUUUAGUAUUUGGUCGUAGACCCGAAACCAGGUGAUCUACCCUUGGUCAGGUUGAAGUUCAGGUAACACUGAAUGGAGGACCGAACCGACUUACGUUGAAAAGUGAGCGGAUGAACUGAGGGUAGCGGAGAAAUUCCAAUCGAACCUGGAGAUAGCUGGUUCUCUCCGAAAUAGCUUUAGGGCUAGCCUCAAGUGAUGAUUAUUGGAGGUAGAGCACUGUUUGGACGAGGGGCCCCUCUCGGGUUACC
rnacentral:rRNA from 1 species